UUUAGUAGAGACGGGGUUUUACCAUGUUGGCCAGGCUAGUCUCCAACUCCUGAACUCCAAACGGCUAAUGUUUGUGUUUCUAAUAGAGACAGGGUUUCGCCAUGUUGCCCAGCCUGGUCUCAAACUCCUGGGCUCAAAUGAUCCACCUCGGCCUCCCAAAGUGCUGGGAUUACAGGUGUGAGCCCCUGCACCUGGCCUUUUUAGUUUUUUUUAUUUAUUUUCUUUGAGACGGAAUCUCACUCUGUUGCCUGGGCUGGAGUGCAAUGGCGUGAUCUUGGCUCACUGAAACCUCCACCUCCUGGGUUCAAGCAGUUCUCUUGCCUCAGCCUCCUGAGUAGCUGGGAUUACAGGUGCCUGCCACCACGCCUGGCUAAUUUUUGUAUUUUUUAGUAGAGAUGGGGUUUUACCACGUUGGCCAGGCUGGUCUUGAACUCCUGGGCUCAAAUGAUCCGCCUGCCUUGGCAUCCCAAAGUGUUGGGAUUACAGGCGUGAGCCACUGCACCUGGCCGUUUGCAGUGUUUUUAACCAAAGAAUUUGUAGAGUUGCCCAGACCAGGAAUCCUGGUGGCUCUAAAGGGUAAUCUACCUUGUCAGUAACAGACAGUGGGGGUGGUAGGAGGACAUUACUCAUACUGAAGAUGAAGACCAGACUUUGCUGCUUCACAGGCCAUGCCGGGGGUUGGGCCACUUCAGCUCCACUCCAUUCGUUUUCCUUUCCUAACUUGACAAUCAGUGAGCUCCUUCACCCUCCCUUAGUGCCUACUCCUGUCACUCCAAUGUCAACCCAUUGGGAAUUGAGGCCUGCAUGUGGGCUGUUACUUUGCGUCAUACAGAUGCUGUAAGAGGCCUUGCUGGAAUGUCCUAGGAAUCCCUAGUAGCAGUGGCUACUAGUCUUCUAGAAAAGAACUAUUGCCGCUGCCUUGUGCACAUGCCCCACCUUCUGGGAAAGUGGCAGCAUUGCGUUCAUGAGGGGCUUUGCAUUCUCAGCCAAGGGCAAUAAACUUGGGUGGGUGAUCUGGCCCAAACUUGCCCCUAGACUCGGCUAGCCCUGAAUCAGCAGGCUUGAGAGAGGAGGGUGGGUGUUAUAAAAGCCAGUCUGUGAAGGGUAAAUUCCAAAUCUUGUGCCUUGUUAUACCAAUCCUUUCUGAUUCCCUUUUAAACCAACUACUCUUAUUUUUGUGCUGCCUACAUUUUCAAUCCUCCCAAGCAUUAGCAAAUUCCUGAAAUUUCCUCAUUUGGUAGGCCUUCCAUAGGAGUCAGCUAUGGACUUCUAUAGGAGUUGGCAGCUAAAACCAGACUGAGCUUCUUCCUUCCUUCUGAUCUUUGCUGCACCUCCCAGGGGACGGUCCCCACAUGACUAUACAAAAGCCAGGUACCCUCAUCACCCCGGUUACCCCUGACCUGAUUGUUUUGAAUAAACUUUCAUUCUCCAAGCAGAUCCCCAAAUUUCCUUGUCCUUGUUACACAUCUACCUCACAAUCUCACAAUUAAACAAGGACAUAUUCACCUAUUUCUUUACUGUCUUCUCUAUGAGGGUUGGGAAGGUGGGGGCUAGAAAAGGCUCAUAAUUUUUAAACUCUUGGGAAUUUCUAUUCCUACAAUGUUUUCUCUGGGAUUUUUAGCUCACUGAUCACCCUAGAACAGUGUGAACUCUCCAGAUAGGUCCUGCUGUGAUAAGCCAGGGGAGUAGGCUGUGCAGUGACUGCUUAGGGUAGUAAGUAAUUGUUGGAGGACACCAGCAUAGGAACAGAACUUAGAACUUAAGAGGACAAGAAAGCUGCUCGGUGGCUGGUGUAUAGCUGUAAAGGUAACCAAAUACCAAAGAGGGAGUCUGUCAUUUUCAUAAGGCUGGAAGCGAAUGUUCCUUCUCUAUCUUAACAUACAGUUUAGGGGGUUCACCAAGACAAAGUUUCCAGGCUGGAGGGUAAUACUUUUCCAGCCUCAGUGAAGCCCCCACUCCAACAUAUACCCUUUCUGGGUGGGUGAAUACUUCUUUGCAUGUGGACAGAAAAUGUUUAAUUUAUACUUAAACACAUUUUAUGCAUUUUUAUCUGGAGACUUCUAGUUUUAUACUCUUCCCACAUCUAUGCCAAUGCCAUCAUUCUAACUUAUGCUUCUUUUCUACCCCGGUCUUUUCCUUGUCCUUCCCUACAACUUGGUAGAGGUCCAUUUUGUCUUACUUCACAUUUUUUUUUUUUUUUUAAUAAAACACAAAAGUCUA